GUGGUAUAGGAAGAAGGAAGAUUAUGUGGAAUCUAGCGAAGAAGAAGAAGAAGAAGAAGGCGCUUUGCUUAUUUUAGCCCAGCGUUUGAAGGAAGAAGAAGAAGAGGAAGAAGGAGGAGGAGGAGGAAGGAGGAGGAGGAGAGAGAGAGAGUGACGUGAUCCUCUCUCUCUCUUCCUCUCAUUUUAAAGAGAAGCAUUCUGUCUCUACUAAGACUCUUUAUAUGUGGGACGUGAAAUGUAUUGAAACCAUGAAACAACAACAA